CUGACUGCUAUCGGAUUGGUACUAAGCCAUGUGAGUCAUUGUAGCAAUACAAGGCAUACGGCUCAGUAACACGUAGUCAAUCUGCCCUAUGGACGUGGAUAACCUCGGGAAACUGAGAAUAAUCCGCGAUAGAUCAUAAUGCCUGGAACAGUUUAUGGUCCAAAUGAUUCGUCGCCAUAGGAUGGGACUGCGGCCUAUCAGCUUGUUGGUGAGGUAAUGGCCCACCAAGGCUAUUACAGGUACGGGCUCUGAGAGGAGAAGCCCGGAGAUGGGUACUGAGACACGGACCCAGGCCCUAUGGGGCGCAGCAGGCGAGAAACCUUUGCAAUGUGCGCAAGCACGACAAGGUUAAUCCGAGUGUUUCCUGCUAAAGGAAUCUUUUGUUAGUUCUAAAACCACUGAUGAAUAAGGGGUGGGCAAGUUCUGGUGUCAGCCGCCGCGGUAAAACCAGCACCUCAAGUGGUCAGGAGGAUUAUUGGGCCUAAAGCAUCCGUAGCCGGUUCUGUAAGUUUCCGGUUAAAUCCACUAGCUCAACUAAUGGGCUGCCGGAAAUACUGCAGAACUAGGGAGUGGGAGAGGUAGACGGUACUCGGGAGGAAGGGGUAAAAUCCUUUGAUCUCUUGAUGACCACCUGUGGCGAAGGCGGUCUACCAGAACACGUUCGACGGUGAGGGAUGAAAGCUGGGGGAGCAAACCGGAUUAGAUACCCGGGUAGUCCCAGCUGUAAACGAUGCAGACUCGGUGAUGCACUGGCUUUUGGCCAGUGCAGUGCCGCAGGGAAGCCGUUAAGUUUGCCGCCUGGGAAGUACGUACGCAAGUAUGAAACUUAAAGGAAUUGGCGGGGGAGCAC
rnacentral:rRNA from 1 species